AGGCCGAUCGGGCCCCGACCAAAGAAAGGCUAAAAGCCCACGCGACUGUCGUCGCGACUUCCGAUCAGGCUACGGCCGGUCGAGGGAUAUUCGGCUUACCACCGUCUAUCACACGACGCGACCUUAGUCGCAUCCACGACUUGCCGACCGACCUACGACCGGCUGAACGACAUUCGACUUGCUACCGUCUGUCGGAAGACACAGAACCCGACGCAAGAGUAUGGGGACCCGACUUACUAUUGUUCCUCCGACACUGCACCGGAUGACGACCGACUAAACGCAUCUACGGAAGCCCGACUACCGAGCCUUUACCAGGUUCGGUCGGCCCCCGACUCAACAGAUGCACCCGACCGACGACUUCGACUAUUGGAAGCCGACCUAAAGUCGGGACACAUUCUACUUUCAGGGCUGCAUAAGUUAUCGAAGUCCUACCGACUUACGUGAGUUGGCAACUUACUUAAGUUAGCGACUAAAGUUCGACAUCGCAGCAAUAAUCGGCAUUACAAACAAGAAGAAAAAGAAAAAGUUCCAUUCAUUGAUGAAAAAAAAUUACAAAGUCGGGUCGAAGCCCGAUUACAUGUAUUUUCUGAAAACAAAAAAGGCAAAGAUAGUCGGCAAGGCCGAUCAUCCGUCCUAGUCGAUCUCUUCGACCGACGGAGGAUCGGGAAUGAUCGGCGUCUCGGCCAUGAGCGGCGCU
rnacentral:lncRNA from 1 species